rnacentral:rRNA from 1 species
CCUACGGGAGGCAGCAGUGAGGAAUAUUGGUCAAUGGACGCAAGUCUGAACCAGCCAUGCCGCGUGCAGGAAGACGGCUCUAUGAGUUGUAAACUGCUUUUGUACGAGGGUAAAUCCCGCUACGUGUAUCGGGUUGUAAGUAUCGUACGAAUAAGGAUCGGCUAACUCCGUGCCAGCAGCCGCGGUAAUACGGAGGAUUCAAGCGUUAUCCGGAUUAUUGGGUUUUAAGGGUGCGUAGGCGGGUCGAUAAGUUAGAUGUGAAAUUCCGGGGCUCAACCCCGGCACUGCCGUUGAAACUAUCAGGCUAGAGUUUAGUAGCGGUAGGCGGAAUGUAUGGUGUAGCGGUGAAAUGCAUAGAGAUCAUACAGAACACCGAUUGCGAAAGCAGCUCACCAGACUACGACUGACGUUGAGGCACGAAAGCGUGGGGAGCAAACAGGAUUAGAUACCCUAGUAGUC